rnacentral:rRNA from 1 species
AACGAACGCUGGCGGCGUGGAUUAGGCAUGCAAGUCGAACGUGAAAGGGGCUUCGGCCCUGAGUAAAGUGGCAAACGGGUGAGUAACGCGUGGAGAACCUGCCCGGAAGCGGGGGAUAACACUUCUAACGAGGUGCUAAUACCGCAUGUGUCUGCGUGAGCGCAUGCUUGCGUAGGUAAACGUGGCCUCUGCUCGCAAGCUACGGCUUCCGGAUGGCUCUGCGUCCCAUUAGCUAGUUGGUGGGGUAACGGCUCACCAAGGCUUCGAUGGGUAGCUGGUCUGAGAGGAUGGUCAGCCACACUGGGACUGAGAUACGGCCCAGACUCCUACGGGAGGCAGCAGUCGAGAGGCUUCCGCAAUGGGGGAAACCCUGACGGAGCGACGCCGCGUGAGCGAUGAAGGCCUUCGGGUUGUAAAGCUCUUUCAGAUGGGAAGAAAGGUUGGCGGGUGAAUAAUCCGCCGGCUGUGACGGUACCGUCAGAAGAAGCUCCGGCUAACUCCGUGCCAGCAGCCGCGGUAAUACGGGGGGAGCAAGCGUUGUUCGGAUUCAUUGGGCGUAAAGGGCGCGUAGGUGGCUUGGUUAGUCCGACGUGAAAUGUACCGGUUCAACCGGGGCACUGUGGCGGAAACUGCCGAGCUUGAGGCCGAGGGAGGAAGGUGGAAUUCCUGGUGUAGCGGUGAAAUGCGUAGAUAUCAGGAGGAACACCCGUGGCGAAGGCGACCUUCUAUCUCGGAUCUGACACUGAGGCGCGAAAGCCAGGGGAGCAAACGGGAUUAGAUACCCCGGUAGUCCUGGCCGUAAACGAUGGGCACUAGGUGUGGGAGGUAUCGACCCCUUCCGUGCCGCAGCUAACGCAUUAAGUGCCCCGCCUGGGGAGUACGGCCGCAAGGUUG